UCACUCGUUUCUCUACAGAUGGAAUAAAUCUUUCGCCUUUUACUGAAGAUUUCCGUGGAGAGGAACAAUAAGAGUAUAUCUCAGUUUGUUGAUGCUCUGCGAAAGCGGAGCG